rnacentral:rRNA from 1 species
CCUACGGGCGGCUGCAGUGGGGAAUAUUGGGCAAUGGGCGCAAGCCUGACCCAGCAACGCCGCGUGUAGGAAGAAGGCUUUCGGGUUGUAAACUUCUUUUCUCAGGGACGAAGCAAGUGACGGUCCCUGAGGAAUAAGCCACGGCUAACUACGUGCCAGCAGCCGCGGUAAUACGUAGGUGGCAAGCGUUCUCCGGAUUUACUGGGUGUAAAGGGCGUGUAGGGCGGACUGCAAGUCAGAUGGGAAAACCACGUGCUCAACCUGGGGCCUGGAUUUGAAACUGUAGUUCUUGAGUACUGGAGAGGCAGAGGGAAUUCCUAGUGUAGCGGUGAAAUGCGUAGAUAUUAGGAGGAACACCAGUGGCGAAGGCGGUCUGAUGGAGAGCAACUGACGCUGGGGCGCGAAAGCGUGGGGAGCAAACAGGAUUAGAUACCCCGAGUAGUC